rnacentral:tmRNA from 1 species
GGGGAUGUACAGGCUUUGACAGGGAUUGCUCUGUCUUUUCACCGCCAUUACGGGAUGCACGGUCUCCCGUAAAGCCCGCCUAAGGCGGGCCUAAUCCGUUCGUGCACAAUCUAAAUGCAGAUUCUGAAGAAUCUACAGCUUUUGAUUAUCAGCAAGCAACUCGUGGAGGACUUUUGUCUAAGCAAUUUGCUUUUGCUGCUUAAUUUUAAGCACCGUGACUGCCCUAUCCGGCGGUCCCGUCUGAUUGAGUGAGGCUUCAUAGCUCAACUCAGGCGUAACCUUAUGAAGCUCGAAGUGUGGCUAAGGCAAUUGAGUAUGCACUUCUAAACUAACCAAUUCCCGCUCGAAGAGCUUUUGUUUCUUCUUUAUUCUUCGACUGUAAACAGGAGAAACUAUAAUCGGUAGACGUGAAAGACAACGUUUCUGGACGCGGGUUCGAUUCCCGCCAUCUCCACCA